rnacentral:rRNA from 1 species
GACGAACGCUGGCGGCGUGCUUAACACAUGCAAGUCGAACGGAAAGGCCCUGCUUUUGUGGGGUGCUCGAGUGGCGAACGGGUGAGUAACACGUGAGUAACCUGCCCUUGACUUUGGGAUAACUUCAGGAAACUGGGGCUAAUACCGCAUAGGAGCUCCUGCUGCAUGGUGGGGGUUGGAAAGUUUCGGCGGUUGGGGAUGGACUCGCGGCUUAUCAGCUUGUUGGUGGGGUAGUGGCUUACCAAGGCUUUGACGGGUAGCCGGCCUGAGAGGGUGACCGGCCACAUUGGGACUGAGAUACGGCCCAGACUCCUACGGGAGGCAGCAGUGGGGAAUAUUGCACAAUGGGCGGGAGCCUGAUGCAGCAACGCCGCGUGCGGGAUGACGGCCUUCGGGUUGUAAACCGCUUUCGCCUGUGACGAAGCGUGAGUGACGGUAAUGGGUAAAGAAGCACCGGCUAACUACGUG